rnacentral:rRNA from 1 species
CCUACGGGAGGCAGCAGUGAGGAAUAUUGGUCAAUGGGCGCGAGCCUGAACCAGCCAAGUAGCGUGAAGGAUGACGGCCCUAUGGGUUGUAAACUUCUUUUAUCAAGGAGCAAAGUACGCCACGCGUGCCUUUCCGAAUGUACUCGAUGAAUAAGGAUCGGCUAACUCCGUGCCAGCAGCCGCGGUAAUACGGAGGAUCCGAGCGUUAUCCGGAUUUAUUGGGUUUAAAGGGAGCGUAGACGGGUAGUUCAGUCAGUUGUGAAAUUUUGGGGCUCAACCGUAGAAGAGCCAUUGAUACUGGCAGUCUUGAGUGCGUGUGAGGUAGGCGGAAUGCGUGGUGUAGCGGUGAAAUGCAUAGAUAUCACGAAGAACUCCGAUUGCGAAGGCAGCUUACU